rnacentral:rRNA from 1 species
AGGGAAUCUUCGGCAAUGGACGAAAGUCUGACCGAGCAACGCCGCGUGAGUGAAGAAGGUUUUCGGAUCGUAAAACUCUGUUGAUAGAGAAGAACGUUGGUGAGAGUGGAAAGCUCAUCAAGUGACGGUAACUACCCAGAGAGGGACGGCUAACUACGUGCCAGCAGCCGCGGUAAUACGUAGGUCCCGAGCGUUGUCCGGAUUUAUUGGGCGUAAAGCGAGC